ACAAGAAGAAACCAAAUUGUGAGUAGUAGCAUUGCAAUGGUGAUGAUUUUGAUCAUGACAGUACUAUAGUAUUAUUGAAACUAUUUUAAAUCAAAAUUCAUACCCAGGUGACAGGACAAAUAAUAACGCCUUAGGUUGCUCCCUACUCGCGCAUGUCAGUAUUCAAGGGCAGUUUCAAGCAGCUUCUUUGGGUUGGCAUAGACUCAAAGAUUUCGACCAUUGAAUAAGGAAACUGUUCCUUAAAGCCAGCCGGAUCAAAUAUUCGAUUGGCUUUAAACCGACAAAAGAGUUUCUUCUUUUUUCCACGGAUUGUACUUUGUUCAUGUUGUAGCAAAAAUGUCCAUACUAGAAGAAGGGUACGUAGGACAGAUAAUGGCAGUGGCAAAUGGAGAGGGAGCAGGUGAGUUCAUGGCACCCCAAACUUCUCAAUAAUCCUUUUAUUUUUUGGUAUUCACGCUAAACUCAGAAUUUUCGUCGCUUCAAAAUCUUGAUAACUUAACUUGAACCUCUCAAUUAUAAUUUUUUUAUCAUCCUCUAAACUGAAUGAUUUUGUGUUUGGCCUUCUUUUUAUCUAACUUGCGUCCGCUGCUAAAGAAUGGAGAGAAAUGCUCUAAAGCCAAGCUCUUCUAGAUUUUCCUUCCCAAAUGAGUUGGUGAUAACUUACAGUUCUUCAAAUCAUGAAAGAUAUGAACCAGUUGUCAGUUUGCAAUGCCAAAGAAAAUGUCAUGAGAACAGAACCAAAUAAGAAAGAUUCUGAGCAAAUGAGGGAAACAACUUUAAUAGGAACAGAACCACUUGAUUUGGUACAAGUCUAAGAGCACGUCUACCGGCCUCACGUAUCUGUGUCCGACACGUCUUAGUCACGGACACAAUACGAAACUCUCUUGAUACGUGUCGGACAUGCUCAAACACUUGUCCAAUCUUUUUAUUAUACUAUUUAUUUUGCUAAAACACAUUGUGGAUAUUUUAUGGCACUUUGACGCCACUCUUGGAACAUUAAAUAAACUUUUAAACUUAGGGGGUAGUGAAAAUUUUCACAGAUGUAUAGUUCUUGUAUACUUAUAUGCAGACCCUUCUUCGUAUUAUUCUCAGUUUGAUAGAAAUAAUUUUCCCGACUUUUAUAUGAAUUCAUAACAUACCUCCAUAAUACAAGUACAUCUUACAUUCGACGUGUCUCUGACCUGUCCGUGUACUAAUUUUCGAAGAAAAUGUGUCCAUGUAUCUGUGGUGUGUCAUGUCCGUAUGCCGUAUCCGUGUACUAUAUGUGCUUCCUAGGGUACAAGGAGUGAUAAGAAUUGGAAUCAAGAAAGCUCUGUACAAAAUAAAUUGUGUAGUUCAAAUUCAUCUAAAUAUACUCAAGUCAAUAUGGACCAUUGUUUACACUCAUUUUUGGCCAAAUCUAAAAAAGAAUAUGUUAAAGGAUUAAUGGCCCAAAAUAUUAUUUUGGGGCUUGGUAGAAUUAGGCCUUGAUUGAAUUGGGCCUUUGGUAGAAUUUAAAGUGGCCACAAUUAGGCUGAAUUGAGUUUGGAAGGGCCGGAAAGAGUUUGAAAAUUGAUUAGGCCGCAUUAAUAUUUGGAGCAUGGCCUAAUUAGUCAAGGCCCAAAUUGAUUUUCAGAUCUGGGCCCAUUUUCAGGCCUUGGUCCAACUAAUCAAAGCUCGAACUAGUUUUUCAGGUCUAUUUAGCCCAAUAAGGCUUUCAAGUCUGGGCCCAGCUUUUCAGAUUUAUUCAGGCCUAAAACUGACCAAGUCAAAAAGGCCAUAAGCUACUUAGUCAUGUUUGGGAAGCAAGCUGCUCAUAAGCAGCUCAAGGCCUAGCCAUCAUCCUUCAACAUGAAGCAAGGCUUGGGACAAAUGGCAGCCAUCCAUUGGAGGAAAUGUCAAGCAACUCAAGGCCUUUGCCGUGAAGAAACUUGGCAGCCAUAUACAGGCCUGCAGAAGAUGCUUAGUCAUGCUUACAUGAGCAACUCGAGGCCCACAGCCGUUAUCCUUCAAGAUGAAGUAAGGUCUGGAACAUGUGGCAUUCAUGUAGCUGCUUGUCCAGACCUCCACAAGCAGCUUACAAGCUGCUCAAGAGGCCUGGGGAUUCUGCACAGCCGAAAUUCUUUUUGCUUUUGGUAGUCCUUUAUGCAGGAAAGAGAGUUUUUUCAGGCUUUUCAGCCGAUUUCUUGGAGUGGAGAGCAAGGCUUGGACAGGUGGCAAUCACUUAUUGGAGGAGGUAGAAGCAGCUCAAGCCUAGGCCUUUACCAGGAGGACACUUGGUAGUCAUGCAUAAGGGCAGGAAGAAGCAGCUCAAGCAGCUCAAGGCCUGAAAUUUUAUGCCUAUAAAGCAGCUCAGCACCAACAAGCCCAGCGCUUACCAAAUUUAUCUUUCAUUUACUUUCCAGCAAAGUACUUUACUAUCUUUCAAUCUAGCCCAGCCUAAAUCUUGUCUUUCAUUUCCUUGUACCCAAACUUUGUUAAGCCAAUUAAUAAAGUUUGUUUUAUCUUUAUCUUUCAGUCCUUGCAUUUUUCAUUUCCCAUUUUCUAACAACGGUUAGAAAAUUUUAAGUCAUUAUCCCGACAAGGCAAACCAUGAACGUACCAUAUACGACCUCACCCCUUAGGUCGUACACAAUUCGCUCAAUACGAAGUCAGAUUUGAGGCACGCAGGCCUUGAACAAUAGUUUGGACUGCAAUCCAGUCCUGGCACGCCCGCAACCAAGCUUACUUAGUUUUGCUCGUUUUUGUGGAGAAACAACCAUACAAUUAGCAUCAUGGGAAGUUUUCUUGAUCUUGGUUAUGGGACAGUAGACUUUCUGAUUUGGUACCCACAUACAAGAAAAUAAAAGAGAAACCCAUGAACAAUAGCAAGAAAAGAAGAAGAAAAGAGAAGAAAACUAACCUGAAAGAAUUGGAAGAAGAGAUCAUUGAAGAGAAAAACAGGUUCAUGAAAGGCUUCAGCUUGAACUUGAGCUACCUUCCUCAUCUCACUCGGCUCCUCAACCAUUCUCCUCACCUUCCAUCCAUACUCCCUCACCAAAUCCCCAAACUGCCCCUCUCCAUCUCCAUUUUUUGCAUCCAAAUCCUCAAUCGUGCCAUCCAACUCCACCUCCUCAGUUGAAGAAGGAGAAGAAGAAGUGCUGCACUGUACCAUAAGCUCUCUUUCUUUCUCUGGAUUCCUCUUCUCUCUGUUCCUCACAUUGUGGACUAUAGUAUUAUUCCAUCUAGUCAAUCGAAAGUCAGUCAAAUUAGUCUCACCAUGUUUGCAAACUCUGUAUCCACAUGAUAUUUCUCUGCACAAUAUUCCCCUUGUAAUACUGGGGUAACUUGCUUUCGCAUGAGCCAUUUUCCCUUUUCUUCUCAGAC